AUUGAACGCUGGCGGCAGGCCUAACACAUGCAAGUCGAACGGUAACAGGAAACAGCUUGCUGUUUCGCUGACGAGUGGCGGACGGGUGAGUAAUGUCUGGGAAACUGCCUGAUGGAGGGGGAUAACUACUGGAAACGGUAGCUAAUACCGCAUAACGUCGCAAGACCAAAGAGGGGGACCUUCGGGCCUCUUGCCAUCGGAUGUGCCCGGAUGGGAUUAGCUAGGAGGUGGGGUAACGGCUCACCUAGGCGACGAUCCCUAGCUGAUCUGAGAGGAUGACCAGCCACACUGGAACUGAGACACGGUCCAGACUCCUACGGGAGGCAGCAGUGGGGAAUAUUGCACAAUGGGCGCAAGCCUGAUGCAGCCAUGCCGCGUGUAUGAAGAAGGCCUUCGGGUUGUAAAGUACUUUCAGCGGGGAGGAAGGGAGUAAAGUUAAUACCUUUGCUCAUUGACGUUACCCGCAGAAGAAGCACCGGCUAACUCCGUGCCAGCCGCCGCCGUAA
rnacentral:rRNA from 1 species